AUACUACUCCCUCCAUCCCAAAAAGCUUGUCUUAGAUUUGUCUACAUUUGGAUGUAUGAAACACUAAAACUGUCUAGAUUCAUCCGUAUAUAGACAAAUCUAAGACAAACUUUUUGGGACGGAUGGAGUACUAA
rfam:Triticum aestivum genome assembly, contig: Triticum_aestivum_CS42_TGACv1_scaffold_081241_1DS